AUUGAACGCUGGCGGCAGGCCUAACACAUGCAAGUCGAACGAGUGGCGGACGGGUGAGUAAUGUCUGGGAAACUGCCUGAUGGAGGGGGAUAACUACUGGAAACGGUAGCUAAUACCGCAUACCAUCAGAUGUGCCCAGAUGGGAUUCGCUAGUUGGUGGGGUAACGGCUAACCAAGGCGACGAUCCCUAGCGGGUCGGAGAGGAUGACCAGCAAAACGGGAACUGAGACACGGACCAGACUCCAACGGGAGGCAGAAGUGGGGAAUAUUGCAAAAUGGGCGCAAGCCUGAGACAGCAAUGCCGCGGGUAUGAAGAAGGCCUUCGGGUUGUAAAGUACUUUCAGCGGGGAGGCGUUACCCGAAGAGGAAGCACCGGCUAACUCCGUGCCAGCAGCCGCGGUAAUUC
rnacentral:rRNA from 1 species